rnacentral:rRNA from 1 species
AACGAACGCUGGCGGCAGGCCUAACACAUGCAAGUCGAGCGAGGACUUCGGUCCUAGCGGCGGACGGGUGAGUAACGCGUGGGAACGUGCCCUUUGCUUCGGAAUAGCCCUGGGAAACUGGGAGUAAUACCGGAUGAGCCCUUUGGGGGAAAGAUUUAUCGGCGAAGGAUCGGCCCGCGUUGGAUUAGGUAGUUGAUGGGGUAAUGGCCUACCAAGCCGACGAUCCAUAGCUGGUUUGAGAGGAUGAUCAGCCACACUGGGACUGAGACACGGCCCAGACUCCUACGGGAGGCAGCAGUGGGGAAUCUUAGACAAUGGGGGAAACCCUGAUCUAGCCAUGCCGCGUGAGCGAUGAAGGCCUUAGGGUUGUAAAGCUCUUUCAGCUGGGAAGAUAAUGACGGUACCAGCAGAAGAAGCCCCGGCUAACUCCGUG